rnacentral:tRNA from 1 species
GCAUUGGUGGUUCAGGAGUAGAAUUCUCCCCUUCCAUACCGAAGACCUGGGUUUGGUUCCCAGCCAAUGCA